GACGUAGGGGACGAGCGUUGUCCGGAUUCAUUGGGCGUAAAGCGCGCGUAGGCGGCCACGCAAGUCGGGUGUGAAAUCCCGGAGCUCAACUCCGGAACUGCACUCGAAACUGCGCGGCUUGAGGUAGGUAGGGGAGAUCGGAAUUCCUGGUGUAGCGGUGGAAUGCGCAGAUAUCAGGAGGAACACCGGUGGCGAAGGCGGCUCCCUGGACCGGUACUGACGCUGAUGCGCGAAAGCGUGGGUAGCAAACAGG
rnacentral:rRNA from 1 species